GGUUGUAGCUCAGUGGCAGAGUGCUUGCCUCACAUGCAUGAAGCACUGGGUUCACUCCUCAGCACCA
rnacentral:tRNA from 1 species